rnacentral:rRNA from 1 species
AGUGAACGCUGGCGGUAGGCCUAACACAUGCAAGUCGAACGGCAGCACCGUACUAGCUUGCUCUUACGGGUGGCGAGUCGGGGACGGGACAGGAAUACAACGGACCCUACUUUUUCGUGGGGGUUAACGUAGGGAAACUUACGCUCAUACCGCAUCCGCCCUACGGGUGAAAGCAGGGGAUAUUUGCACCGUGUGCGAAUGGAUUAGCCGAUGUCGGAUUUGCUAGUUGGCGGGGUAAUGGCCAACGCAGGCGACGAUCCGCAGCCGGUCUGGGAGGAUGGUCGGCCACAUUAGAACGGAAACACGGACAAGACGCCUACGGGAGGCAGCAGUGGGGAAUAUUAGGCAAUGGGCGGAAGCCUGAUCCAGCCAUACCGCGUGGGUUGAGAAGGCCUUCGGGUUGGAAAGCCCCUUUGUUGGGAAAGAAAAGCAGCAGGUUAAUACCCCGCUGGUCUGACGGUACCCAAAGAAUAAGCACCGGCUAACUUCGUG